ensembl:lncRNA
UCCACUUGCCUCCUCCUUCCCCGGUAAACCGGAGAGACGUCCCGGUCCCUCGCGAGGACGGUUACCGGGUCAUAACGCCAAGUUCUUUGAACAAAAAGUGUAUUCCAGUCACACGUGGGACAGUUAGAAACUGCAAUGCAGCAGCGCACAAAAGAAGAGCAGCGCGCCGCCGAGCGCACGGACCCGACAACAGGGACGGGAAUCUGUUGGGGGGGGAGAAAAAGUGUUUGGGAUGCUGCUGUCGGAUCUCCUCUCACCUUCAGCGAGCUGCGUUCUCCUCCUCCUCCUCCUCCUCCUCCUCCUCCUCCUUUCUUUCUUCUUCUCCGCAGUGGAGCAACGUGCCAAGCCGGAGGAUUCCUUCACAUAUUGUGACCUCGACGUCCGACCUGUUCCAGAUCGUCGGUGAUGAAAGACAAGCUGCUCGUGCCGCUUGGAAAACACUUCUGGUAAGUCACAGGGACAGGAGGAGACCGGGGGGGGGGACAUGCAGACCACGCAGAGAGGCUGCUGGUUCUUUAGAUCCCAGGACCUCGUUCCCGUGAGAGGAGAUCGCUAACCGCCACACCGCCGUGCCGCCUGCGCGUCAGUAAUAAAGAUAAAAACAGGUAAGAAACACACGUGAUGUUUAUACAAAGAAAAUCUCCGUUAAAUAAUGAAAGUACACGAUUCGCUUUGUUAAUCUUACAAGAUGUGAUUGUCCAAACUUAAAAUAUAUAAGGAGCAAGGGCUGAACUAGGUUUCUUAACUUUUUUUAAUCGCUUUAAGAAUUUUAAUAUAAAGCGCUCUUGACGAGUUUGCUAUCACUGUUGCCCCCCCCCCCCCCCCCCCCCCACACUCUUGCCCUUGCCAAUGAUAUAUUUUAAUCCAAGCUGGGGCGGCCUCAGUCUUACUCUCGAUAGCGGUGUUGAAUGGCUCUCUUGGCAAAACCCCUGGAACGUCAUCGGCUUCGGAAAUGCUGACGGCUCCAAAAAGAAAAUGCAGCUGAGUCAUUCUUAAUGAAGAUCAGGAAGCUUUUCCUCCCUCCUCUCCUUCCAUCAUCAGAAUAACAAGCGUGCUGGCACCGACAGCGCGGGCUUAUCCCACCGGAAAUUCACCGCUGCAGCGCUUGCUGUCAAAAAGUUACGCGGGCCGCUGGCAAAUAAGAGGCAGGCCUAGAACAAAUUAGUACACCCCCCCCCCGUUAAAACGGCGUUGCAGUUCCAACUCCCGACAUCGUGCCGUCCUGACCACGUGUCACAGAUUGAACCAUGCGUGGAGCAGAAGCUCAGCGUGUGUCAAACUGACUGAGGAUGCAGAUCACGGCGGGAAUCGAUGCUGUCCUCAUUUUUAAAGAUUCUUUUCAUGUCGUUUGUGAUGCUCGCAGACCCAAAGUCACCCAAAGAUGAAGUGCAGCCAGUUGAGGGUCGAGACUUUAUUAGCCAGCUUGAACUUCUCCCUUUUUCUGCAGCCAGUCGUGCUUUCAGGUUUGAAGGGCGAGUGUUAAAUACGGAAGACGAAGAUGGGAGAUGCAGAGACAAAGUGGAAAAUAAGGAGCCAGUUCCCUGAAAGCGGCCGAUUAAGUCCUGUAAUGAGUGCCGUAAUCUUGCAGCAGUGUUGCUCUCAUUAUUUGUUUAUUCCUCCUCACACCUGCCCAGACUUGACGCUCCACAAUGUUUCCCCUCUUCAUUAGCAGAGGGAGCUGCCGCUGCGCGCUAAUGCAUGUACUCGGCUGAUGUUCAUGUCCCGGGCAUCUUGUGUGUGUGUGUGUGUGUGUGUGGCUCAGAGUCUCAGUGCAUGCAUUUAUAUAUAAAUAUAUAUAAAUGCAUGCACUGGGACUCUGUUUUUUUAACCUUCGGAUUAAACUUGCGUGCCUGCAAACUCCUCCCACUUUUGACCUUUGUGUCGAAGGCGCACACACGUGUCCACACAGGCCGGUGAUGGAUGGUGUUAUUACCUGAAGCUUCUAAGGGGCAGAAAGGUGCUCAAGAGAACAAACACACCUGUCUGUUUGUGCUUUAUCAUCAGGAAUUAACACACGCGCCAGCCGGGACGCGCACACACACACACACACACACACGUACACACGUAUGUGCAAUAUUCUCUGAAAACAUUAGCAUUUAGCCAAUGGAAGACGUGCGUUCUCACACAAUUUUUUGCUUUUCCCGGGCACACGCUGUCACCUGUGAAAAUUAUUCAUUAAUGAUUUAUUGAGAGGCGGCCAUGCUUAGGAAGCCAUAUUAAGCUUUGCAUUUCCGACCCGGCAUUAAGCAGCGAUAAACACGCUCGCGUACGCACAUAUACAUCGUCUUUCUUUCCAUCUCCGUGGAUCUGCAUAACGGCGUCUUAGCACUCGGUGUGACCUUGCUUUGUUUUGCUCGUUGGAACAAACACACCGGGGGAAGAAAAAUGAGUUGUUUCAUCGGGACUGGGGGGAGGAAGGGGGGAGGAAGGGGGGAGGGGGGGGACGGGGGGGUCAUGCUACCGGUUAAAAGCGAUGACUCAGGUCGCGUAUCGUUUUUGCGGAUGCGCCACAUGUCAGUCCAGGACUUCUAAUAAAGAUCUACUGCUCAACCCCCACCCAACCCCGUUCACCCCCGUCUCCAUUUUUGCUGAUUGCUUUUCACCAUUAAUAUUUCAUGUGUAAUGUGGCUCUUUUGGAGAGCUUGAGCAUGUGUGUGCGCGUGUGUGUGUGUGUGUGUGUGUG